GACGGAAGGUGCAAGCGUUGCUCGGAAUCACUGGGCGUAAAGGGUGCGUAGGCGGCCGUGCAAGUCUGGCGUGAAAGCCCCGGGCUCAGCCCGGGAAGUGCGCUCGAAACUGCGCGGCUCGAGUGCCGGAGGGGAGAGUGGAAUUCCUGGUGUAGCGGUGAAAUGCGUAGAUAUCGAGAGGAACACCUGCGGCGAAGGCGGGUUGCUGGGCUGACACUGACGCUGAAGUGCGAAAGCUAGGGGAGCGAACGGG
rnacentral:rRNA from 1 species